GGUAAAUAAAUAAAUACAUAUAAUUCAAUAUAAUUGCGAUGAAAUUUGUAUUUAUAUAUUGUGUUAAAGUGAUCAAAUUUUCAUGAUGAAAUGUCCAAAUUGGAAACGGAAACAUAUCAGAAAAAAAUAGAUGAAAAUUCCAGAUAAAAUUCCAGACGUCUGGGUUGGAGUAAUUUUCCACAACAGCGCGCGAAAAGAAGCGAACCAAUUUAUAUUCUGUCUGCACUGUAAAGUUCAACGAACAUUUAUUAUAGCAUCCGAGUGAAUGUUGUGCAUCUUAGUUCUAAACCGUUGUGUCAUCAAUCACGGCAGCACACUUUAGCGUGAAGUGGUGAAUAAAUCCAUCAAUUUAUUUGCCCAACACUCUAGGCGUAUUGACAAUAAUCAAACCAUACAAAAUCGCUAUCCAAUGAGCUGUUAUCGCACAGUUGGCUUAAAUGGAAUUACAGUCAUUAAACAAAAGCAACAGCAACAACAACUAGAGGAACAACCUGUUACAUUUGCUCAACAAGCAAUAAACACAACCGAGAAGACGCUUCCUGAAUGCGGCGACAACAGGAAAACACAAAAAACAUGAAACAAAUGGUGUAAUUAAAUAUUUACAUACGGCGGGCAACACACACAAAUUGCAAUCGAGUCAAUUAUGCGAGAGAAGAAGUACAAAACUUGGCUGGCAACGAAUCAAUUUACGUUCGAUCAAUCUAGAGGCGACCUUGCCGAAUGCCAAGGCCAGUAGAAAUGGGCAGCUGGCAAAGUCAUUUGCAGUGGCGCCAAUCGAGGGCGUGGCCAAUACCCGCAAUGAUGCAUCUCUCAUCUCCAGCCGAUUACGAUUACGAAUUUGUUAUGACAGUCGGACAAGCUGAUUAGCGGCAAAAAAAAAAAAAAAAAUUUCGAGGGGCGUUGCCGUUGUCGCAAGGGUUAUCGUUGAAUUGUACAUACAUAUAUAUAAACUAUAUAUAGUGAGUUGCAAUUGCAACUGUACAAAAAACUGUGUGUGCUCUAAUCAGUAAUUGCAUUUUUUGUUUUGUUUUGUUUAUAUGUAGAUCGAUUUAUAGACAUGUCUUUACAAUCGCACACUUAACCAAUACAUUUAAGAGUUACACAAAUAUACACAGAAGUAGCGUUGAGUUAUCUACCGUGAACAACUUAUCAACUAAUUGAACUACACUAUAAAUAAUAAUCAAAAAUCAAUAUGUUAAAUGUUGUACAUGAUGCGCUACUUGGCGUAUGCGUAAUAUGGCAUAUUAUUUGGCUUUUGGUUGUUGCUUUCGCUCACUUCGUUUACUCUUCCUCAUCCCAAUUUAACGUCCACUUAACCAACUCUGUAUUUCACUGGCGGAUUUGCCUUUAGUUUCAACUAAAGCUAAAGCCACAUAGAUCGUGGCCAAAGCCAUGCAGCCAGCAAAGAACCAGAAGGUAAAGUCUGAUCCCCAGGACUCGAUCAUGACGCCAAAGCAUUUGGUGACCACAAAUACACACAGCCAAUUAGCCAUGACACUCAGGGCCGCCGCAGUGGCCUUCACAUCGGGCAUAAAGAGCUCGCCCAUCAUCAGCCAGGGAAUGGGGCCGUAGCCCACAGAGAAGCUAAUGAUGAAGAGCACCAUGCACAGCAAUGGCAGCCAGCCAAUGUGCGCGACAUCCUUGCCACUGUCCUUCAUA